rnacentral:rRNA from 1 species
CCUACGGGUGGCAGCAGUCGAGAAUCAUUCACAAUGGGGGAAACCCUGAUGCUGCGACGCCGCGUGGGGGAAUGAAGGUCUUCGGUUUGUAAAUUCCUGUCAUGUGGGCGCAAAUUAAAAAGAUAGUACCACAAGAGGAAGCGACGGCUAACUCUGUGCCAGCAGCCGCGGUAAUACAGAGGUCUCCAGCGUUGUCCGGAAUCACGGGGCAGAAAGCGUGCGUAGGCGGUUUCGUAAGUCAGAUGUGAAAGGCGCGGGCUCAACCCGCGGACGGCACAUGAUACUGGAGGGCUAGAGUAAUGGAGAGGGAGACGGAAUUCUCGGUGUAGCAGUGAAAUGCGUAGAUAUCGGGAGGAACACUCGUGGCGAAGGCGGGUUGCUGGACAUUAACUGACGCUGAGGCACGAAGGCGAGGGGAGCGAAAGGGAUUAGAUACCCCGGUAGUC